UACGAAGGGGGCUAGCGUUGCUCGGAAUCGCUGGGCGUAAAGGGCGCGUAGGCGGAUCUUUAAGUCGGGGGUGAAAGCCCAGGGCUCAACCCUGGAAUUGCCUUCGAUACUGGAGAUCUUGAGACCGGAAGAGGUAAGUGGAACUGCGAGUGUAGAGGUGAAAUUCGUAGAUAUUCGCAAGAACACCAGUGGCGAAGGCGGCUUACUGGUCCGGUUCUGACGCUGAGGCUCGAAAGCGUGGGGAGCAAACAGG
rnacentral:rRNA from 1 species